GGACGCGUGACAUAAUGGUUAGCGCGUUGGACUCUGGAUCGAGUGCGUCCGGGUUCGAGCCCUGGCGCGGGGUCA